rnacentral:rRNA from 1 species
GGUUUGAUUCUGGCUUUCAUGAUUGAACGCUGGCGGGAUGCUUUACACACGUAAGUCGAACGGCACGACUUCGGCCUGGUGAAGAGCAACCAAAGUAGCAAUGCACGAACGCGCCCAGCGACAACCAAUGAAGCUGUUAGCUGUAUCACCGCAUACGCCCUCGGUGGAAAGCGGUGGACCUUCGGCCUUGCACUAUUAGAGCGGCCGAUAUCGGAUUAGGCUAGUUGGUAAAACGCACCACUAAGGCGACGAUCCGUAGCUUUGUUUGAGGACGACCAGCCGGCGAUUGGAUCGAUGAUGAUUGGCCCAGGAUUACGGAGGCUAUGAAGGGAAUUUUGGAUUAUGGGGGAAAUCCCUGAUCCGCGCCAUCUCCAUGGGUGGUGAUGAAGGCUUCUCACAAAGCACCCUUGGCAGAAAGAAACGGCACGGAUAAUACCCUGUGCAACUGACGGUACCUUGUGAAUAAGUGACCGAAGAUACCACGCCGUUAAGGUAAUACGUAGGCAAGCGUUAACGAAAUUGUCAUGGAAGCGUGCGCAGGCGGUUCGAAAGAAAAGAUGAAUCCCAGAGCUUUAACUUUGGAACUGCAUUUUUAACUACCGAGCUAGUGUGUCAGAGGGAAGGUGGAAUUCGCGGUAGCAGUGAAAUGCGUAGAUAUGCGGAUAUGAACACCGAUGAUGAAGGCAGCCUCCUGGGAUAACACUGACGCUCACGACGAAAGGUGGGGAGCAAAUGAUUGAGAUGAAUUCUGCAGUCCACGCCCUAAACGAUGUCAACUAGCUGUUUUGGGGCCUUCGGCCUUGGUAGCGCCAGCUAACGCGUGGUGCUUUUCGACCGCCUGGGGUGAGCGCGGUCGCAUGAUUGGGAAAACUCAAAACAGAAUCGACGGGGACCCGCACAAGCGGUGGAUGAUGUGGAUUAAUCUGAUGCAACGCGAAAAACCUUACCUACCCUUUGACAUGUCUGAAUCCCGAAGAGAUUUGGAGUGCUCGCAAGAGAACCGAACACAGGUGCUGGGCAUGGCUGUCGUCAGCUCUCGUGUCGUGAGAUGUUGCUUGAGUCCCACAACGAGUGCAACCUCACAUUAGGUUAUUACCAGGCGUACCCCCCACGAGACUGCCGGUGACAAACCGGAGGAAGGUGGGGAUUAUGUCGUCCUCAUGGCCCUUACGGAAAAUAAUGUCACAGCGGUCGGGACAGGAGGGUCGCCAACCUGCGAGGGGGAGCCAAUCCCAGAAACCCGAUCGUAGUCCGACUGCAGUCUGCAACCCCGACUGCGUGAAGUCGGAAUCGCCAAAGGUAAUCGCGGUGGAUCAGCAUGUCGCGGUGAAUACGUUCCCGGGUCUUGUACACACCGCCCGUCACACCAGAGGUCGCACCAGAGAAGUAGUUACUCAACCGGGCGAGGGCGAUUACCAGAUUCAUGACUGGGCAGUCGCAAUGUAG